AUCCCAUGAUGAGGAUAGGCGGCCACAUACUCCUGCAGUCGUUCCCAUGCUUCAGGAAUGGACUUGUCCCUUGUCUGCUGGAAACGGGAAAUUCUUCUACGAAGGGC
rnacentral:snoRNA from 1 species